UCUCAGGUGUCAGUUUCUGGGGAAGCGAAC
rnacentral:piRNA from 1 species